rnacentral:rRNA from 1 species
CCUACGGGUGGCUGCAGUCGAGAAUCUUCGGCAAUGGGCGAAAGCCUGACCGAGCGAUGCCGCGUGUGGGAUGAAGGCCCUCGGGUUGUAAACCACUGUCGUAGGGGAGGAAGGUCCGCCGAAGAGGCGGAUUUGACCUAUCCUAGGAGGAAGUACGGGCUAAGUUCGUGCCAGCAGCCGCGGUAACACGAACCGUACGAACGUUAUUCGGAAUUACUGGGCUUAAAGGGUUUGUAGGCGGCCAUGUAAGUGGGGUGUGAAAUCCCUCGGCUCAACCGAGGAACGGCGCCCCAUACUGCAUGGCUUGAGGGAGACAGGGGUAAGCGGAACUGAUGGUGGAGCGGUGAAAUGCGUUGAUAUCAUCAGGAACACCGGUGGCGAAAGCGGCUUACUGGGUCUCUUCUGACGCUGAGGAACGAAAGCUAGGGUAGCGAACGGGA